rnacentral:rRNA from 1 species
ACGUUGGAUACUGGAGCGGGGAAGGAUUUCGUGCCAACGGCACUCGUACACGAGUUGUUCGGAUACUGAGCACAACGUUACACCGUUUUGUUAGGAAAGUGAAGGUGCGUCGGCGGCGUGCGUUUUUUUUUUGCUUUGUUUUUUUUUUUUAAAAAAAAAAAAAAAAAAGGCGCCCCCCCCUGGGCCUUUUUGAAAAGGGGGAAAAA